rnacentral:rRNA from 1 species
GAUGAACGCUGACAGAAUGCUUAACACAUGCAAGUCCACUUGAACUUCGGUUUGGGUGGCGGACGGGUGGGUAACGCGUAAAGAACUUGCCUCACAGAUAGGGACAACAUUUGGAAACGAAUGCUAAUACCUGAUAUUAUGAUUUUAGGGCAUCCUAGGAUUAUGAAAGCUAUAUGCGCUGUGAGAGAGCUUUGCGUCCCAUUAGCUAGUUGGAGAGGUAACGGCUCACCAAGGCGAUGAUGGGUAGCCGGCCUGAGAGGGUGAUCGGCCACAAGGGGACUGAGACACGGCCCUUACUCAUACGGGAGGCAGCAGUGGGGAAUAUUGGACAAUGGACCAAGAGUCUGAUCCAGCAAUUCUGUGUGCACGAUGAAGUUUUUCGGAAUGUAAAGUGCUUUCAGUUGGGAAGAAAAAAAUGACGGUACCAACAGAAGAAGUGACGGCUAAAUACGUG